GUCUGUCAGUGAUGAGACCACGGAUGAUUGCACCAGGCAUGGUGCCCGAUAAACAUGAGGAUACCUUCCAGCUGCCUUCCUUCUGAGACUAC